UCCCUCUCAAAAAAGUUUUGUUUUCACUUCAGUUUUUGUAAUUCUGUGGAUUGGCUCCGCCAUAGUCACUGUAAAUUCUCAACUUUUAGGAGGGACUCUUUCUUUCUUUCAAAGUUUAUGCUUACUUGGAUACUGCAAUUUUCCUUUAAUAACUGCUGCAGUUAGUAAUAGAUUGAUAACUUUUUUUCUUCAAGGAAGUGCUUAUAUUAUAAUAAAAGUUCUUCUUG